GUGCCUAACACAUGCAAGUCGAACGAAGCGCUUUCUUUUGAUUCUUCGGAUGAAGAAGACUGUGACUGAGUGGCGGACGGGUGAGUAACGCGUGGGCAACCUGCCCUGUACAGGGGGAUAACAGUUAGAAAUGACUGCUAAUACCGCAUAAGCGCACGAGGACGCAUGUUCUUGUGUGAAAAACUCCGGUGGUACAGGAUGGGCCCGCGUCUGAUUAGGUAGUUGGUGGGGCAGCGGCCUACCAAGCCGACGAUCAGUAGCCGACCUGAGAGGGUGACCGGCCACAUUGGGACUGAGACACGGCCCAAACUCCUACGGGAGGCAGCAGUGGGGAAUAUUGCACAAUGGGGGAAACCCUGAUGCAGCGACGCCGCGUGAAGGAAGAAGUAUUUCGGUAUGUAAACUUCUAUCAGCAGGGAAGAAACUGACGGUACCUGACUAAGAAGCACCGGCUAAAUACGUGCCAGCAGCCGCGGUAAUACGUAUGGUGCAAGCGUUAUCCGGAUUUACUGGGUGUAAAGGGAGCGUAGACGGAGAGGCAAGUCUGAAGUGAAAGCCCGGGGCUCAACCCCGGGACUGCUUUGGAAACUGCAGUUCUAGAGUGCCGGAGAGGUAAGCGGAAUUCCUAGUGUAGCGGUGAAAUGCGUAGAUAUUAGGAGGAACACCAGUGGCGAAGGCGGCUUACUGGACGGUGACUGACGUUGAGGCUCGAAAGCGUGGGGAGCAAACAGG
rnacentral:rRNA from 1 species